UACAGAGGUCUCAAGCGUCGUUCGGAUUCAUUGGGCGUAAAGGGUGCGUAGGUGGCGCGGUAAGUCGGGUGUGAAAUUUCGGAGCUUAACUCCGAAACUGCAUUCGAUACUGCCGUGCUUGAGGACUGGAGAGGAGACUGGAAUUUACGGUGUAGCAGUGAAAUGCGUAGAGAUCGUAAGGAAGACCAGUGGCGAAGGCGGGUCUCUGGACAGUUCCUGACACUGAGGCACGAAGGCCAGGGGAGCAAACGGG
rnacentral:rRNA from 1 species